rnacentral:rRNA from 1 species
GAUGAACGCUAGCUACAGGUCUUAACACAUGCAAGUCGAGGGGCAUCAGGAAGAAAGCUUGCUUUCUUUGCUGGCGACCGGCGCACGGGUGAGUAACACGUAUCCAACCUGCCCUUUACUCGGGGAUAGCCUUUCGAAAGAAAGAUUAAUACCCGAUGGCAUAAUGAUUCCGCAUGGUUUCAUUAUUAAAGGAUUCCGGUAAAGGAUGGGGAUGCGUUCCAUUAGGUUGUUGGUGAGGUAACGGCUCACCAAGCCUUCGAUGGAUAGGGGUUCUGAGAGGAAGGUCCCCCACAUUGGAACUGAGACACGGUCCAAACUCCUACGGGAGGCAGCAGUGAGGAAUAUUGGUCAAUGGGCGUUAGCCUGAACCAGCCAAGUAGCGUGAAGGAUGAAGGCUCUAUGGGUCGUAAACUUCUUUUAUAUAAGAAUAAAGUGCAGUAUGUAUACUGUUUUGUAUGUAUUAUAUGAAUAAGGAUCGGCUAACUCCGUGCCAGCAGCCGCGGUAAUACGGAGGAUCCGAGCGUUAUCCGGAUUUAUUGGGUUUAAAGGGAGCGUAGGUGGACUGGUAAGUCAGUUGUGAAAGUUUGCGGCUCAACCGUAAAAUUGCAGUUGAUACUGUCAGUCUUGAGUACAGUAGAGGUGGGCGGAAUUCGUGGUGUAGCGGUGAAAUGCUUAGAUAUCACGAAGAACUCCGAUUGCGAAGGCAGCUCACUGGACUGCAACUGACACUGAUGCUCGAAAGUGUGGGUAUCANACAGG